UUGUUGUUAGUUUGAACAAUCCCCCCUUGCACACCAGUUAUUUGCUCUUGUUGUGUGGCCUUCACAGGGAGAUCUAGGACCUCCAGGGGCUGCUGGCCCCCGGGGACCCCAGGGUCCACAAGGGCUGGAAGGACCAAGCGGACCUCGAGGACCCCGUGGUCAACAGGGUCAACGUGGGGCAGAAGGUUCUCCUGGACCCAAGGGCAACACUGGACCAGCGGGGCCCACAGGGGCCAGGGGCGAUCCAGGAUUUCAG
rnacentral:lncRNA from 1 species